ensembl:lncRNA
GCAGGGCAGAGAUGGGGUGUGCUGGGCAGAACUGCUGAGAUGGACGCUCCUCCACAGCUGCCAGAUCCUUGGGAACGCCGGCGACGACUCCUGGCCGGGAGCCUGAGACCCCGGGAAGGGAGAGCUCCCGUAAUGCUGGGACCGGGGGCUUCAGGAGAAAUGAGCCCCGUUUUGGACACCUUGAGCUUAAGCUGUCUACCGGACGGUGUCUACCGGACGGCGUCUGCCAGGCGGCCGUGCUGAGGUCGAGGUGGCCAUACCUAGCUCAAAAUAAACGGGAUAAACUCCCAGUGACCAUCGGGCCAAAGACAUUUAUUUAGGGAAAUGGGUUCCGGGCAAAAUGAAGGCAAAAUGGACACCCAAAGCAGCAGAUAUGAAAUCGGGUUGGGAGAGCACAGUUAGCAAGGAAAGAGACAGUUAACCAGGAGAAAGGAGAGCCUCUCUGAGGGGGGACUGCCCUCGCCUGCCAGGUCCUGCCAACCAGAGUGGGGAGAAAGGCACCGCUAAAGGGAGGCACCACGAUGGGGAGAGACAACUCGUGGCACAAAUCGUCGCAGGGUUUUUUUUUUAUUUUUAUUUUUAUUAAAAGCUUUUUAUUUUCAAAACAUGCAUGGAUAAUUUCUCCACACUGACCCUUGCAAAACCUUGUCUUCCAAAUUUGCCCCCUUCCUCCCCUCUCCUCCCCUAGGUAAGUAACCCAAUAGAUUUUAAACACGGGCAAUUCUUCUAUAUACAUGGACACAAUCAUGCUGCACAAGAAAAAUCAGAUCUAAAGUGGGGGGGGGGAAUGAGAAAGGAAAUGCAAGCAAACAAAAAGUGAGGAUGCUCUGGUGGGCCACACUCAGUGCCCACAGGCCUCCGUCUGGGCGCAGAUGACUCUCUUCGUUAUAAGACCACUGGAACUGGCCUGAAUCGGCUCAUUGUUGAAAAGAACCUCAUGGGCCAGAGCUGAUCCUCAUACAAUCUUGUUGGAGAAGCAGAUCUUUCAUAGGGGAAACUGAGUCUUGGCGUUUCUCAGGUGACUCGAGCGGUCAGGAGCCAGACCUGCCUAAAGACAUGCUGAGCAGCAGCCCACCAGGUUGUAGAAGAUACCCAGACACUGGGGGAUGGGCCCCGGGUUUCUAAAGCGUUUCUUCCUAAAUGUGAGAAGGAUCUGGUGCCCGCUUCGGGUCAGAGGGACCCAGUAAAUCCCGGCAGCUGCAGAUGCCAGCUUGGAGGUCAGCAGAGACUGGGGCGGGCAGGGCAGAUUUGAGACGACUAGAUCCUUGGGACCCGAGGAGUCCGGAGGGAGGCGAGCAAAGGGACAGACGGGGAGGGACACCUGGGACUUGCAGGGGGAUGCGGCGGAGGAGCAGCCAGCAGCCAGGAGAACAAGCGGGGCCUCCCUAGAGAGAAGCGCGGACCAGACCGGAGUUUUCAGCACGGAGGCUGCGAGAGGGGUCAGGGAGGGUGCUGGGUUCCUUAGCUGCCGAAGGGAGUGAGACCUGGGAGACUGCCUCUGGGGACCAGGCCGUGUUUGGCCAAGUCAGGAGCCCCAGUCCCGGGCGCCUGCGAGGCUCCCAGGCCGGCCCGCCCCCGGGCGUCAGGCUGAGCACGGGAGCUCGCUGCUUCCUCGCACCGGAAACCGCAGGCAGCUUGGGCACGCCCUGUCCCGUGGGGCGCCGAGCCCGGGCUGGCCUGCGGGCCUUCGACGCCCGGCCUGGGUCGGGGCCGGCGGCCUACACGUGGAGGGCCACUCGGCCGGGGGCGGGGCUCCAUCCCCCGAAGGUGGGGGAGGGAAGGAGGAGCCAUGGGGAGGCCCCGCCCCCGUUCCAGGCAGAGCGAAGACUGUUGAUGCGCAGGCGCAUUAGGCAGGGGCUCGAGGGAGGGAGGAGGCGGUGAGCAGCUCUCCCUCCGUCUACUUAUGCCCCAUUCGCCGCUCGCAGAUUGAGCGCUCUUCUCCCCCAGCACCGUGCUCUCGGCAGCUCCUCUGGGGGAGCUCCUCCUUGCCCCUCCUCUCCGCUGCUCCGCCCUCCUUUUCCUCCUGCCCCGCCCCCUCCGCCCCUUGGCCACUACUCCUACAACCCGCCCACCCCCUUGUCCGGCUUCAGCUUCCCGCAGAGACCCUUCCCUUAAAUCCCCAUCUUAAUUCCUUCCCAAGUCCUUCCCUCCUCUCGGUCCUCCUCAGCAUCCCCAGCCGCCCUUUUCAAAUUUUAAAUUCCCUGCUUAGUUGCCUUGUCCCCCCAGCAUUCUUAAGGCCUUUAAACUCCUGUUUACCCCGGUCCCCUUUAAGUUUCCCUUUUGUCCUGCCUAGAGCCCUGUUUGUUUUAAAGCCUCCUUUCUUACCCUUGCUUACCCUAGUCUCCAAGCCCUGCCUUGUCCUGCCUAGAGCCCUAGUUGUCAUUUUUAAAGUUUCUUAAACUCCUGCUUAGCCCUUGGGUCCUUCCUUCCCUGCCCCCUUGUCCAGCCCUCAGCCACUCUCUCAAAGCUUCUGUCAAAUCUCCUCUUAGCACCUCCCCUAACUCCUCCCCCCGGCCCUGGAGCUGCCCUCGCAGUCCCCUCCAUUCCUCCCUUUCUUGCCCCUCCCCUUUUCCCAGCCCCGCCCCCAGCUCUCCUCGGCUUGCAUGCCUGCCCUGAGCAAGCCCGAAGAACCGGGAGUCUUCUGGAGGAGAUGCUCUGAGCCAGCCCCCCCGCCACCCCUGGAAGUGUUAGGGGAGGGCCGGAGGGAGGGAGGGAGGGAGGAGGGGGGAGGAGCGUGAGGGAGGGGCGCCCGCCCCGCCGCCCCGUCCAGGCCAGCUUCCCCAAUCCCCCCAGCCGGCCCAGUCACCUCAGCAACCAGGACUACAACAGAGAGAGUAGCCGGGCCAGGUCCUUGCCUGGACAGCUAGGGCCCCGCCAUGUCCCGGACGUCGGCCAUGUCCCGGACGUCAUCCGGUUCUACCCCCUUCCCCGCCCUACCUGAACCCACCUCCCCGGAGCCCCCGGGAGUUUUUUCCCCAGGCCAGCAUGCCUCUGGCCGCCAGGGCGCCGGGAGGACAGCGGACCUGGACAGCUCAG